AUUGAACGCUGGCGGCAUGCCUUACACAUGCAAGUCGAACGGUAACAGGUCUUCGGAUGCUGACGAGUGGCGAACGAGAGAGUAAUGCAUCGGAACGGGCCCAGUAGUGGGGGAUAGCCCGGCGAAAGCCGGAUUAAUACCGCAUACGACCUGAGGGUGACAGGGGGGGAUCGGCAGACCUCUCGCUAUUGGAGCGGCCGAUGUCAGAUUAGCUAGUUGGUGGGGUAAAGGCCUACCAAGGCAACGAUCUGUAGUUGGUCUGAGAGGACGACCAGCCACACUGGGACUGAGACACGGCCCAGACUCCUACGGGAGGCAGCAGUGGGGAAUUUUGGACAAUGGGCGCAAGCCUGAUCCAGCAAUGCCGCGUGCAGGAAGAAGGCCUUCGGGUUGUAAACUGCUUUUGUCAGGGAAGAAAUCUUCUGGGUUAAUACCUCGGGAGGAUGACGGUACCUGAAGAAUAAGCACCGGCUAACUACGUGCCAGCCGCCGCAGUAACAC
rnacentral:rRNA from 1 species